UACGUAGGGUGCAAGCGUUGUCCGGAAUUAUUGGGCGUAAAGAGCUCGUAGGCGGUUUGUUGCGUCCGCUGUGAAAACUCGGGGCUUAACCCCGAGCCUGCAGUGGAUACGGGCGGACUAGAGGUAGGUAGGGGAGAAUGGAAUUCCCGGUGUAGCGGUGAAAUGCGCAGAUAUCGGGAGGAACACCGGUGGCGAAGGCGGUUCUCUGGGCCUUACCUGACGCUGAGGAGCGAAAGCGUGGGGAGCGAACAGG
rnacentral:rRNA from 1 species